CUCGGCCCGGGCCGGCGGGAGGCCGCGCCGUUCGGCGGGCGGCGCCGGCGGCGCUUCGAGGACGGCGGUCGCGGC
rnacentral:tRNA from 1 species